AGAGUUUGAUUCUGGCUCAGGAUGAACGCUAGCUACAGGCUUAACACAUGCAAGUCGAGGGGCAGCAUGGGAGUUGCUUGCAAUUCCUGAUGGCGACCGGCGCACGGGUGAGUAACGCGUAUCCAACCUUCCCCUUAGUAGGGCAUAGCCCGGUGAAAAUCGGAUUAAUACCCUAUGUUCUUCACAGCAGGCAUCUAACGUGAAGCAAAGGUUCACCGCUAAGGGAUGGGGAUGCGUCUGAUUAGGUAGUAGGCGGGGUAACGGCCCACCUAGCCUUCGAUCAGUAGGGGUUCUGAGAGGAAGGUCCCCCACAUUGGAACUGAGACACGGUCCAAACUCCUACGGGAGGCAGCAGUGAGGAAUAUUGGUCAAUGGGCGAGAGCCUGAACCAGCCAAGUAGCCGUGCAGGAUGACGGCCCUAUGGGUUGUAAACUGCUUUUAUAUGGGGAUAAAGUUCACCACGUGUGGUGUUUUGUAGGUACCAUAUGAAUAAGGACCGGCUAAUUCCGUGCCAGCCGCCGC
rnacentral:rRNA from 1 species